rnacentral:piRNA from 1 species
UGUGGUUUGCCUUAAGUUGUGUAGCUGCCU